AAAUUAAAAACUUAAAAUCCUACCUGACUUGGAUAGGAAACUUGAUGACAGGGAUCCCAGAUGUAAGGAUGAAAGCAUUCUAAGAUCAUAUAAAAUCAUUUUGGGUGUAAUCGUCUUACAUUUAUAGACUACUUUGAAAUGUUGCUGAUAACAUUAUUUCUAAAACUUUAGUACUGACCAGAUAACUGGAUUGCAGAGUAGAGGCUACCAUGAUUUAAUUAUUUAGAGCAAAUACUGUCCCCUCCCCGAUCCUUCUCCCAUCUUAGGAACAAGACAGCUACAAUGCAAGCAAGAAGGGGAAUUAUAUGAGUGCAUUUGUGUACUUAAGCUGUACACAUUGUAUCAUCACCUAUAUAUAUGACACAUGUAUCUUGCUACAUACGAAACCUUAUUUUCACAAUUACAUAUAAGAAUUAGUCUAAUAUACUAAGAAGAUAUAUUCAAUAAGGAUCAAUACCAUAGAAAACUGAUGUGUAAACAGGUUGAUAUUCUGAGAUUUCAUAGAGUUCAGAAUUAGAAGUAUGUGGAAAAGGGAAAUUCUGGCAAUGUUACUGGUUCAUAAUAGUUUUUAAUAAGGUAAAACUAGUUCCUUAAAUGAAGAAACUAGGGGAAAGAAGGGAGAAAUAAUGGUUUCGAUGAACUUAAAAAAAGUUUUAAGUAUAACAAAAUCAGAACAAAUGGUCAGAUUUGCUCAGUUCGUCUGUGCCCGUGUUCUUCUUUGUAGGACUGCCUACAUACAGUGCCAUCCUACAUACCACUGUCUGCAUACAUGACCUACAUACACAUGCACCUUAGAAAAUAAAACAUUUUUAAAAUUAGCCCUUCCUUAUCUCAUUAUUUUCAGUGUUUAUUUUCUCUUCACAUGUACAUAUCAACCACAGUCCAUGGAAAUCUAACCAAGUUCUUUGAAAUCACUUCUUUUUUUCUUUAAAUAGUGUUAAGGAAAAGAUAGGCAGUGGAGGGGUCUCAAAUGCUAGUGUGACCUUUAUCUGCUCUGAAGUCAGGUGAUGAGCGCAGAGGUUGGAAGGCCAGUGAAACCAUGAGUUGUGAAACUGUGUCUUGACCCAACUGACUGCAUCGCUCACUG
rnacentral:lncRNA from 1 species